ensembl:lncRNA novel transcript
AAGGAAAGCAAAGCUGAGGAGAAAAUCCAUUGAUCCCUGGAGGACCCUCACGUGGCAUUGGUACUUUGGAUCACAAGACUGCCCCACGGGCAGACCCCCCAACUCUGAGCCAGACCCCAUGUCUUGUAUAGAUUACGAGUACACAGAAGGUGCAUUUACUGAGGCUGUGCUUCUGUUUUGGGUUUACAAAUGUCAUCAAAAUGGAAGACCCAGCUGAAGUUAAUUUGUUGGAUGCCUUUUUCUCUCAAUUCACUGGAAAAAAAAAAUGUUUAACUUUUUAGCUUCCAAGUUUUAAUUUCUAAAACAGGUUUCUUGUGGUAUUUUGCAACGAUUUUAUCAUCAAGCCUGGUGAUAAAUUGUUUUUAAAGGGUAAUGAUGUAUUAAUGUACCUUUGAAUUUACGAUUCUCAGUAGGAAACUAACCCAAGACCUAAAUGUUUUCUUUUCUAGAGAAUAAAAAAGUUAAGUACAUGUUUC